UACGUAGGGGGCAAGCGUUGUCCGGAUUUAUUGGGCGUAAAGAGCGUGUAGGCGGCCUGACAGGUCUGCUGUGAAAACUCGAGGCUCAACCUCGAGAUGUCGGCGGAAACCGUCUGGCUAGAGUCCGGAAAAGGAGAGUGGAAUUCCUGGUGUAGCGGUGAAAUGCGCAGAUAUCAGGAAGAACACCUAUGGCGAAGGCAGCUCUCUGGGACGGUACUGACGCUGAGACGCGAAAGCGUGGGGAGCGAACAGG
rnacentral:rRNA from 1 species